CCUGUCCCUAGAGGCAUUGCAGGUGUGGCUACUGUGUCGCAUGUGUGUCAGUAGGUGGUAGAGAGGGAAAGGCCAUGUCUACACUCAGUGUCCUGACCUGGGAACAUCUGAAUGAGCAGUAGCCUAACACU
rnacentral:snoRNA from 7 species